CAGCCCAGGAACUUCGGGCAAGCCUGUUGGAGACUCAGGCUCACGCUGACAAGCAGAGCCACAUCCUAUGGGCCCUCACAGGCCACGUGCAGCGGCAGAGGCGGGAGAUGGUGGCACAGCAGCAUCGGCUGCGACAGAUCCAGGAGAGACUCCACACAGCGGCGCUCCCAGCCUGAAUCUGCCUGGAUGGAACUGAGGACCAAUCAUGCUGCAAGGAACACUUCCACGCCCCGUGAGGCCCCUGUGCAGGGAGGAGCUGCCUGUUCACUGGGAUCAGCCAGGGCGCCGGGCCCCACUUCUGAGCACAGAGCAGAGACAGACGCAGGCGGGGACAAAGGCAGAGGAUGUAGCCCCAUUGGGGAGGGGUGGAGGAAGGACAUGUACCCUUUCAUGCCUACACACCCCUCAUUAAAGCAGAGUCGUGGCAUCUCA
rnacentral:lncRNA from 1 species